rnacentral:rRNA from 1 species
UUUCCGGUUGAUCCCGCCGGACCUGACUGCUAUCGGAUUGAUACUAAGCCAUGCGAGUCUUUGUAGUAAUACAAGGCAGACGGCUCAGUAACACGUAGUCAACCUACCCUAUGGACAAGAAUAAUCUCGGGAAACUGGGCAUAAUUCUUGAUAGAUCAUAAUGCCUGGAAUGGUUUAUGGUUAAAAUGAUUCGUCGCCAUAGGAUGGGACUGCGGCCUAUCAGCUUGUUGGUGAGGUAAUGGCCCACCAAGGCGAUUACAGGUACGGGCUCUGAGAGGAGAAGCCCGGAGAUGGGUACUGAGACACGGACCCAGGCCCUAUGGGGCGCAGCAGGCGAGAAAACUUUGCAAUGUGCGAAAGCACGACAAGGUUAAUCCGAGUGAUUUCUGCUAAAGAAAUCUUUUGCCGGUCAUAAAACCACUGGUGAAUAAGGGGUGGGCAAGUUCUGGUGUCAGCCGCCGCGGUAAAACCAGCACCUCAAGUGGCCAGGAUGAUUAUUGGGCCUAAAGCAUCCGUAGCCGGCUUUGUUAGUUUUCGGUUAAAUCCAUGUGCUCAACGCAUGGGCUGCCGAAAAUACUGCAUAGCUAGGGAGUGGGAGAGGUAGACGGUACUCAGUAGGAAGGGGUAAAAUCCUUUGAUCUAUUGAUGACCACCUGUGGCGAAGGCGGUCUACCAGAACACGUUCGACGGUGAGGGAUGAAAGCUGGGGGAGCAAACCGGAUUAGAUACCCGGGUAGUCCCAGCUGUAAACGAUGCAGACUCGAUGAUGCAUUGGCAUAAUAGCCAGUGCAGUGUCGCAGGGAAGCCGUUAAGUCUGCCGCCUGGGAAGUACGUACGCAAGUAUGAAACUUAAAGGAAUUGGCGGGGGAGCACCACAAGGGGUGAAGCCUGCGGUUCAAUUGGAGUCAACGCCGGG